rnacentral:tRNA from 1 species
GCCGGAGUGGUGGAAUUGGUAGACGCGCCGGACUCAAAAUCCGGUAUGGGUGACCAUGUGUGGGUUCAAGUCCCACCUCCGGCA